UGCCGGAUGCUCCGGUUGGAUGCAUGUCCUUCCGGGAAAGAUUCUAUCGGUAUGGGAUGGGGUCGCGUCCUAUCAGCUUGAUGGCGGGGUAACGGCCCACCAUGGCUUCGACGGGUAGCCGGCCUGAGAGGGCGACCGGCCACAUUGGGACUGAGAUACGGCCCAGACUCCUACGGGAGGCAGCAGUGGGGAAUAUUGCACAAUGGGCGCAAGCCUGAUGCAGCGACGCCGCGUGCGGGAUGGAGGCCUUCGGGUUGUAAACCGCUUUUGAUCGGGAGCAAGCCCUUCGGGGUGAGUGUACCUUUCGAAUAAGCACCGGCUAACUACGUGCCAGCAGCCGCGGUAAUACGUAGGGUGCAAGCGUUAUCCGGAAUUAUUGGGCGUAAAGGGCUCGUAGGCGGUUCGUCGCGUCCGGUGUGAAAGCCCAUCGCUUAACGGUGGGUCUGCGCCGGGUACGGGCGGGCUGGAGUGCGGUAGGGGAGACUGGAAUUCCCGGUGUAACGGUGGAAUGUGUAGAUAUCGGAAA
rnacentral:rRNA from 1 species